ensembl:lncRNA
CAGGAGGCCAUCUGGGUUAAUGAGGUGCUAGCAGGUUCUAGCAACAGGAGGCAGCUGAUGGGGGUGUGUCCUCCUUGCCCCCGGAGUCGGAGAUGUGGGAAAGUUGUGGGCUGGAGCUGGGAGGCACCAGGUCAUGUGAGGCAGAGAAAACCAGGAGGCCAGGCCACUGGGCACAGCUGCCAGUGCCUUAGACCAGAACUGGUGCCCUUCCUCCCUUUUCUUCUUUCCUCCUCCCUCCCUCCCUUCCUUCCCUGCUUAUUGGCAGUGUUCAUCUGUGCAACGUACUAGGAGUAUACAGAAUAUGUAUUCCUAGUAUGAGGAAUAGUCCUAAUCCUACUGUAACGGAUUGUGUGUGACUUCUGGGAGAUUACAGACGAACGGGGAGACAGACAGACUAAAGGUGAGCAGAACACUGAUAUAUGUUGUACAUGGAAGGGAUGAACCAGGAGCUGUGGGAACACUUUGGGGGGACUAAUAACAAUAUAAGGAAACCAGGGACGGCUUCAUAGAGGAGGUGAACUCUGUGCUGGGACUUUAAGGAUGGGUAGGGGUUUGUUGGGCAGAGAAGGAGGGAAGGGAAUUUCUGGAGGAGGGAACAGCAUGAGCAAAGACACAAAGAUGUAUUUAAAAAGAAAGGAGGAAAAGGCAGCCUUUCCCAAAGGCCUCCUGAGAGGUUGCCCCAAGGGCUUCCUGAGGACAUCCCACCCUCCCAGCAGCCAGUCCCCGGGUGGGGGCCUAGGAUGACAAACUGUCUUCCUGGCAUUCAAGGGCUUCCCAGUAUGACCCCAAAUGUACUUCCUACCUUCAGCUGCUUCUCUCCUCCUCCACCCCUGGCCACGGCCACUCUCUGAACCUGCCUCGGCUGCCCUGAUUCCAUGCCUUUGCUUAGGCCCCUCCCCUCAGCUGGCAGAGCGUGUCUGACCCUUGUCCUCCCAUCGCCACUUCCACCUCCCUCACGGUCCUUCACGAGGACUGCCGCCUUCAGGAGACUUCUGAUGAUCCCCAACCAGAGUGGUCACUUUCUGCUUUCCACUGCCUGGGUCACUGUGCUUCUUCAAAAGGCACCACUCAUUUUUUUCUUUUUGAGGAAGAUUAGCCCUGAGCUAACUACUGCCAGUCCUCCUGUUUUUUGCUGAGGAAGUCUGGCCCUGAGCUAACAUCGUGCCCAUCUUCCUCUACUUUAUAUGUGGGACGCCUACCACAGUACGGCUUGCCAAGCGGUGCCAUAUCCACACCCGGGAUCUAAACCGGCGAACCCCGGGCCGCCGAGAAGAGGAACGUGCGAACUUAACCACUGCGCCACCGGGCCGGCCCCUAAAAGGCGCCACUCUUAUUCUUCCCACUACUGCUGCUGUCUGCGUAGAUGCCCCUGUCCCUCACCAGACUCAGGAUCCUUGAGGGCAGGGACCAGCCCCUAGCGUAGGGGCUGUAACAAGACCGGCAUCCAGUGAUUGUGGAAGUGAACCGCAUUGACUUGCUAGUGGACCCAGAUAGAAUCAACCUGUAGGCAGACUCGCCUCCUUGGUCAUCUCUCCACCCCUGCCCAAAGGAGCAGCCUUUGGUUUUAGAUACCCGAAAUUCUUCCGGAACGUCAGUUUGGCCUUCCUGGUUCAUCACUGUCGUUUUGGCAUUUCCUUGGUGCUCCUUCUAAAGGCUCCUGACCCCUCGGGACAAACAUGCCACUUCAGUUUGCGCCACUUCUGAUGGAUUGGUAGCGGUUCUCCUAGAAUAUUAUGAUGAGAAGGAUUCUGUAGACGACAGGGGGCUGCUCAGAAGAAAGAGCAUUAAGAUGGCUUAGCAAUGUCUGCCUUGCGGGAGGAAGGGCUCCUCUGCCUUAAUGUGAAGAGGUAGUUUAUUGAAUGCUUUUCCUACAUUAAGCCAAGACUGAGAGUGUGGGCUUUUGCCUCUGGCGGACGCUCAGGGAAGGUGAGGAGAAGAGGAGCCAAGGGCUCCAAAGUGUUGACGCUGUUUCCUUUGAAUCCACUGUUUCAAUGCAGAGACGCCUAAUUCCACGGCGAUGGAGGUGCCCACCUAGAAUGAAAGGAGCUUGGAUGCUUCUGAAGGAGGGAGACCUCACAACCUCAUUCUGGAAAUGGGCACAUGUGGCCCAGUGGGCAGGUGUGAGGGGCCCACUGUAAAACUGGAGUUUCCUGGAUGAAAUUCUGCAUGGAAUGUAAUGUUUUUUAAAGAAUGAGUUAUAAAAAAUAUAUCGAUUUGAAGUUUACGUAUCUUUUAUUAAAAGCCAAUGGUAACCACAGCAUUUGUUCAGCUGUAGAACUUAGACCAAUAAAAUAUUUUUUCAAGGAGGAAUGUUUUAUAGCUGAUAUUGUUUACAGUUGUUGGCCACGGUGAUAAUAAAGGGCAGCCG